AAAGGUGACGCAAGGGCUGGGACCACGUGACCCAGCAACCCCACGCCCGGUGUCCACCCAAGAAAAACAAAACACACGUCGGCACAGAAACCUGUAGUGAACGUUCACAGCAGCAUCGUUUGUAACACCCCCAAAGGGGAAAGAACCAAGAUACCCACCGACUGAUGAACAGCUACACACGGUGUGUCCCCCACGCGUGGGAACGCGAUCCGCCAGGAGCCAGAGCGAGGCGUCCCCCCCGCCCCCGCCGCCCCAAGGACGGACCCCGGACACGCAACGCUCAGGGAGGGAACCAGACCCGAGAGGCCAAGCGGGGUGUGAGUCCGCGUGGAGACCCUUUUCAGUCGUGGCGCUCAGUUUCUUCAGCUACAAAAUGGGCCGAUCGAGGGAGAGGGCAGGUCAGGAUGACCGCAGCGAGGGACCACUAAAGGUUAAUCUAACCGCACGGAACGAGGUACGCACACAGAACAUGCCACACUGAUCUGGGUACAAAGAGAUGGCCACGUUUUGGAGAUCUGGCCGUCUUCCGACAAAGCACAAGCUUUAAGAGUAAAAGCAACGCCCUCGGAGACACAGAGCACAUCGUUUCCGAACCCGUCCACGAAGGCCUGGCCCAUCCGGCCCCGGGCAAGCGACAAACGAACCCAGACCAAGGCCGACACACCUCUUCUGUACAGGAUCACACGGGCGUGCUUUGGGGUGAACGUGCCCCUGGACGAGCCAGGUCCUGAUCCACACGACGCAGAUGGGGCAGCUCAAGCGGGGCGAUGCCCGCGUCCCCCGAAAUGCGCCAUGGCGAGGCACAGCACUGUCACUCGGACGCUGAAGGACGGGAGCGCAAACGUGAGUGCCGGACUAGAGGAGGAGCGGCCAGCAGAGCCACCCCGAGGGUUCUGGGCUCCUCUGCGCAAAGGCUCCCGGGCCCCGGACAGCCCUGAACUCAGGGCCAAACAGCAGCCGCCUUCUCCCAGCGUGCGUGCAGGCCUGACGGGCUGCCCCGGGGGGAGCCGCAGCCUUCAGUGCCUCGCUCUCCUGUGGCCACCUGGGCCUAGGGCCCGAGCACUUACUUCAGAGUCCCGGUCGUACUGGAGAGCCAAGGCCGCGGAGGACAGGUGCCCCGUAGCUGGCAGGGGUUUCUAUCAGGUCCCGGCAAGGGUGAUGGUUCCUACGGUGCACAAAAUAAAAGCACGGUGAACGGA